rnacentral:rRNA from 1 species
GGGCCCGCACAAGCGGUGGAGCAUGUGGUUUAAUUCGAUGCAACGCGAAGAACCUUACCUACCCUUGACAUCCCUGGAAUCUUCUAGAGAUAGAAGAGUGCCUUCGGGAACCAGGUGACAGGUGCUGCAUGGCUGUCGUCAGCUCGUGUCGUGAGAUGUUGGGUUAAGUCCCGUAACGAGCGCAACCCUUGCCCUUAAUUGCCAUCAGUUCGGCUGGGAACUUUAAGGGGACUGCCGGUGAUAAACCGCGAGGAAGGUGGGGACGAUGUCAAGUCAUCAUGGCCCUUACGGGUAGGGCUACACACGUGCUACAAUGGGCAGUACAGAGGGUCGCAAUACCGCGAGGUGGAGCUAAUCCCAUAAAGCUGCUCUUAGUCCGGAUCGGAGUCUGCAACUCGACUCCGUGAAGUUGGAAUCGCUAGUAA